CUGAGACUCGGCAGAGGCAACACCGUGAAACUUCCAAGCCGAAGCAAUAUCAUGGCUCCCUUCAACAAUGGCCGAUCAUGCUUUGUUGCAGAUGAUGAUGUUUCUGAGGGCUCGGAAACAGCGUCCUUCAUAAGGUAACUGUGCAGGUCCUGAAAACCAGCUCACACGCAGCAGUUUCUUCAGAACUUUUAAGCAGGGCCUUUUGGCACUCACACACAAACUGGAACAAGCCUUGUAAAGCAAACUAGAGAGGUUAUCACUCAAGGAAGAAAGAAAA